UUGCGUGGAAAAUAAGUGGAAAGACACUAAAUAAAAAAGAGACAAGCACUUGCAGUAAUAACAAUACAGGUAAGUAGUAGACUGGAGUGGAGACGACGGAAAAACAGGUAAUAAAAGAGAUACUACACUGGAACAAAGACGAGACAAAACAGCUACAGGGAAGACUAGAAGCAUCGGCCGGCAUAGCAAAACACAAUGCUUGUAAAGACAUUGCGUUGCAUACCGGCCGACCCCGUCGUCCCCCCUGGUCGUCGAAAUUGGCGUCAUCCAGAGUCGUCAGAGGUAGCUGCAAUUAGCACCUCGUCGUCGUUGUGGCUGUGGCUGCCCUCUUGGAGAACCAGUGGCACUGGUCCGGCCACCAGCUGGGAGUCAGGAGUAGACGGCACACAUAUCACUGUGGCGACACGGGUCCGGCCGCCAAAGUGAAAUGGAUGACCAUAGGGCACUCUGAAUGCCAUGGCACUGGAUCCGGCCACCAACUAAGGACGAUGGCGAUGGCAUAACUCGAACGGCACAGGUCCGGCCGCCCAAGUGUA
rnacentral:sRNA from 15 species